rnacentral:rRNA from 1 species
AUAUGGUCAAUGGCCUAACGGCUGAACCAGCAACUUGGAGGAAUGUAUAGGGAAAGCUGGUAAAAUGCAAUGUACCUAAUAAUAUUAGUGAUUAAUAUGAUAUUAACUAAGUUAAUUAAAAUUCAAUGUAGAUAUUGAUUAUGACAGUAUUUGCUUAUGUCUUGACCAAAUCACGUGCCAGCAGUCGCGGUAAUACGUGGAAGAUAAGUGUUAUUCAUCUUUAACAGGUUUAAAGGGUACCUAGACGGUUAAUUAAACACAAAUAUGUAUUAAUUAACUAGAGUUUAAUAUAAAAAGGUUUGAGUACGGUGAGUGAAGAGAUAUAAUUUUAUUAAACCACUAAGAAACUGGUAAAGGCGAAGGCAACCUUUUAUGUAAAAACUGACGUUGAGGAACGAAGGCUCGUAUAAAAGAACAGGAUUAGAUACCCUGGUAUUUUGGGCAGACAAUGAUGAGUGUCAUAUGCAAGAACAAUAAAAAUAAUAAUUUUGUGUAUAAAUGAAAGUGUAAGCACUCCACCUCAAGAGUAACGUGGCAACAUUGGAACUGAAAUCAUUAGACCGUUUCUGAAACUCGUAGUGAAGUAUGUUGUUUAAUUUGAUAACCCACAAAUAACCUUACCACAAUUUGUAUUACUUUAGCCAUUAUGAAGUAACAAGUGUUGCACGGCUGUCUCCAGUCAAUGUUGUGAAACCGUGGUUAGAUCCAUUAAAUUGACGUAAACCCUUACUUUAUUUAUUAUAAAGUAGUUCGCCGCUAUAUUGGUAGUGAUAUAUGGGACUAAGACAAGUCAUCAUGACCUGAACAUUGUGGGCUAUAGACGUGCCACAUUACCCUUAACAAAAAGAUGCAAAAUUGCGAAAUUUAGCUAAUCUAGAAAAAAGGAAAAAAUACGGAUUGUAG